CACGUAGGGGGCAAGCGUUGUCCGGAAUUAUUGGGCGUAAAGAGCUCGUAGGCGGCUCGGUAAGUCAGGUGUCAAAUCCUCAGGCUCAACCUGGGGGCUCCACCUGAUACUGCUGUGGCUAGAGUCCGGUAGGGGAGCGUGGAAUUCCUGGUGUAGCGGUGGAAAUGCGCAGAUAUCAGGAGGAACACCGCGGCGAAGGCG
rnacentral:rRNA from 1 species